rnacentral:lncRNA from 1 species
CUUCAUUCACAGAAAGAAAAACAUAUUGUUUAAAAUCUUUUGAUUACUUAACAAAUCACUAAGAGCCAUAGCUAUUUCAGUAACUUAACUGAGGAGGAAAGUAUUAUGAAUAUUUGUUUAAAACACUAAGGGAGAUAACUAUCAGCUUAACGUUUAAUUACGUUGUGUUGUAAAGGAAAUAUUAAGCUUCUCAAUGAUCAAAAUUGGCUUUUGUCAAACUACUAUAUAACCAGUGUAUUUUUUCUGACAAAACGGUUGGUUCAAAUUUUUUGAAAUGUUUAUAUUUUUUUUAAGGGUCAAAGUAAAUGCUUUGUCAAAAUUUUAGGAAAAUUAAACGAGCCAAAUUUAUUUUAGUGAAAGUGUUGGGUACCAUCUUAAAACAAUACUAUGCAUAAGUAAAUAGAUUUAUGCAAAUGAGUUGGAGUAUUAUUGAACAAGAUGAAAGUUAGUUUAGUUUCUUUAAGCCGCAUAUUUGUCAACAUUUUACGGCAUAAGAAAUUAAAGUUAUAAAACAAUCUCAUUUUGGUUAACUUUUUUUGAAGAGAAUUUUAUUUAGAUGAAUUCCUUUAAGUAUUGGCAAUGUUUAAAUUAGUAAACAAUUAUAGAUGAAAAUUGUGCUUAUUAACUAUGACAAUAGUAAAUUAGACAAUGCGAUAGAAAGAGUUAAAUGUGUAGUACAUCUGUCUGUGUAUAGAGGUUCAUUUGGUCACUAAAAUGUGUUGUUUUAGCUAUUUUUGUGUACAAAUAUGUAUAACUACCACAUGCCUGAUUAAAAAAUUUGUCAA